CCUACGGGGGUCAGCAGUAGGGAAUAUUGCUCAAUGGGGGAAACCCUGAAGCAGCAAAGGGGCGUGGAGGAUGAAGGAGGUAGGAUUGUUAACUUCUUUUGUUAGAGAAGAUUAUGACGGUAUCUAACGAAUAAGCACCGGCUAACUCCGUUCCAGCAGCCGCGGUAAUACGGAGGGUGCAAGCGUUACUCGGAAUCACUGGGCGUAUAGAGUGCGUAGGCGGGGUAAUAAGUCAGAUGUGAAAUCCUGUAGCUUAACUACAGAACUGCAUGUGAAACUGUUACUCUGGAGUGUGGGAGAGGUAGGUGGAAUUCUUGGUGUAGGGGUAAAAUCCGUAGAGAUCAAGAGGAAUACUCAUUGCGAAGGCGACCUGCUGGAACAUUACUGACGCUGAUGCACGAAGGCGUGGGUAGCAAACAGGAUUAGAUACCCGGGUAGUC
rnacentral:rRNA from 1 species